GCUGGUCGGUGUUGACGCAAUGUGAUUUCUGCCCAGUGCUCUGAAUGUCAACGUGAAGAGAUUCAUCAAAGCGCGGGUAAACGGCGGGAGUAACUAUGACUCUCUUGUAGGUAAGGGAAGUCUUGUAGGUAAGGGAAGUUGCCAGGAGAGCCCGUGACGAAACUGCGAAGUCCCC
rnacentral:ncRNA from 1 species